UUUUCUUUUAUUUUUUGUGAAGUAUCUAAUCGUAGGAUAUAUUGAUAAAAAGAAGGUGAUACGUUUUGCUAAUUUUCUUUUAUUUUUUGUGAAGUAUCUAUCAUGGAAUAUAUACUUGAUAAAAAGAAGGUAAUACGUUUUACUAAUUUUCUUUUAUCAAGUAUCUAUAGUAGGAUAUAUACUCGACGAAAAGAAGAUGAUACAUUUUGCUAAUUUUCUUUUAUGAAGUAUUUAUCGUGUGAUAUACACUCAACAAAAGGAAGGUGAUACGUUUUGCUAAUUUUCUUUUAUCAAGUAUCUAUAGUAGGAUAUACACUCGACGAAAAGAAGGUGAUACGUUUUGCUAAUUUUCUUUUGUCAAGUAUCUAUGGUGGGACAUAUACUCGACAAAGAGAGGGGAAAAUUUGGUAUCGCGUUGUAUCUUGGAAUAAUGGUAUUCCUCUGGCGAAAAAAAGGAGGGAAGGGAGGGUUGAUUAAUGACAGCGAGAGGGAAAAUUGCAACGUAGAUUGCGGUUCCUAAAAUUUACCGAGGGGGAGGAUUACAUUAUAGUUUCGCGAAUAAAUCUUUUCGGCCUAGAUUCCUCCUUAUCGGGAGUAUCGCGGUUAAUCCUUCGUGACGUGGGCAACGAUACUAAUUCGAAACAACCAAUUUAAACGCUGAAUACGUAUACCUUUUGAUAUCAUAUCGUCGAUUUAAUAUUCCACUUGCACGCGACUAAUCUCUUUCCUUCGGUUUCUUUGACCUCGAUACAUCUCUGUCUUCGAAUUAAUAUCUUGGACUUUUUUAACCGUCUAAUUUCCUUCUCGCGUGGAUAAUUACAAUAUCUGGUUUGUUUCAACGAUGCAAAUUUGAAAUUGUUAUCUAAAGAAUGGCAUAUAUAAAUUUAUUCGUUUGUUUAUAUUUUUCAUAUCUCUUUAGUAAUUUUGUAUUAUCUCUAUUAUUACUACUAAUUUUAGGAAAGUUUUAUUCGAAUUUCAAACUACUGACUUUUUUCCAUUUUUUUUAGAUUAAUAUUAAUAUCAGUCGAAAAUUUUACUUUUCUUUUAUAAAAUUUCAAAAUAUUUAAUAGUAUCAAAUUUUAAUUCGUUCUUCGUAUUUUUUUCCCUAUAAGAAUAUUGAUUGAAUUAACUUUCGUGAUUCGAUCGAGUCGAUUGUGAAAGGACAUUAGUCUCUCUCUAUUUUACUUUAAACGUAUUUUAAACGAAGGGAGGAGGUUUUGAAGAGAGUAUUUAGAAUAAGGGUGUAAAAGGGUAAAUAUUUUUCGUUAGACAGCACCCACAAGGGUGCCGCACACUUUUGUGCAAGGCUUUUCCCUCGUUAAACCAUUGUCCCAUUGUGCGCACUGUUUCGAGUGUUAAAAAUAUUUGCCACGAAAAGAAAUUGUUUUCCACGUUUGGGCCCCUUUUUAAAAACCACAUCUGCCCUUUGCAUACAUCGAUUGGGGCGGGAUCAGGUUCCACAAUCCCCCUUCGUUUCCGUUUUUCGCCCGAUUUUCCAUAUCGAAAUUUCAUUCUCUCUCUCUCUCCAACAAAUAUAUCACAAGUACUCUUCUCUUUUUCUUCUUUUCGGAAUUAAAUCUCCUCCUGAAAUAACUCAGGGACGAAAAAAGAAAAUUUCACAAACACUUCUCCUUCUUCCGUAUCUUCUCUCGCAUCUCAAGAAAGAAAAAAGAAAAAAUCCCGUUGCAACGCUUUAUUAACCUCUACUCUACUCCGAUCAAUCCAAUCCCUGUGUCGUUGCUGAUACGAUCUCGAUACAGGAAUUUCCUUUUUCUCCUUUUUUCCAGAAGACACAUCGCUGCUCCACCGACCUUGUCCCAGUAACCGACUCGUCGAAUCGAUCUCCUCGAUUUCAACAACGAGUUAAUCAACCAACUUUCGAGUUAAUUCUCUCUCUUAAAAAAUAAAUAUAUGAAUAAAAAAUAAAUAUACGAGUUGGAAUAUUGAGUGAAUCUGGAGUAAACAGAUUCACGAAGUGAAGUUUGUCGAAGGUGGAGUCGAGAUAGAGAUUCGUAGAGGAAAGAUAGGCGGGAGGAGUUGGCGCGUAAUCGUUGUGAUUCAUUGGAUAGAUAUACGUGGAAAGGAAAUUGGUCGAAAACUAUCGCAUACACGUUCGAUUAACAUUCUAUUCGCGCGAAACUGACACCUUGCGUCAAGCGAUUGGUGACGUCAAUCGUCGCCGUUGUGGAAACGACGCGUUUGCUUUGGAGAAGAAGAAGAAGAAGAAGAAGAGAAAGAGAAAGAGGGAGAGAAGUUUUGAGAGAAAUCGGGCUCUCAUUUGCACGACAAGGGACGUUGAGCUCGAGAAAGGGGAUUUCUACUAAUGAAACGAAGCGAGACGAGUUCAUAGGUGCGCCACGCCGAUUGCGCUUUGGAUUUUGUUCAGUUAGAAAUUUGGAUCGCUGGGGUGGAUGGGAUAGAAUAGGGAAGGAGAACUUGACGAGGGAUUUGCUAAAAGGAAUUUUAAUUUUCGAAUGGAGAAGAUAAUUUCUCGAGAAUUUAAAGAUUAUCUAUAUGAAUCCGUUAUUGUUUAUGGAAAUGAAAAGAGAGAGCGUAAAGAAUUACUGUAAGAAAUAAUGUUAGAUUUAUAAUUUCUAUAAUCGAGUUUUAUAAAUCAAUCCGUGGAAAGAAAAUGAAAAUGAAAAGAAUCGUUCGUACGUUGAAUAGGAUAAAAUCUUUCGUUGUUAACGAAGAAAUAUAAUAUAACUUUAUUAAGUAUUAUUUUUUCCUAUUCUGAACGUUAUAUGAUUCGAUUUCUAAAGAAAAAAAUCUCUAUCGAGCGGUAAAACAUGAAAAUAUAUGCACAGAAUUACGUUUCCUAAGUUAGGUUAGGUUGCAAAUACCUUCCAAUCGAAUCUCUUUUAAAAAAGAAAAAACUUGUCACGAAUCCCUGUCGACGACUAAAA